UCAAAACUGAACUUGAAACACAAGUAUUUAACAUGGCAACAAACCGAAAUUUCAAAACCUUCUAGAAGUUUCUGUGAUGGAAGUGUCUCCCUAGAAACCCAGUCGGUCUUGUUCUGAUUGCUACAUCAAGCUUUUAAAAAAUAUUUAUUUAAAAUUUAAUAUGUCUUAAAGACUACCUCUACGUUGUUGCCGUCUAUGGUUGCGCUGGUUUGAAACUGAUUCAGAACAGGCAACACAUGAAUUGUGAAUUUCAAGGAAACCCCUCAGGUCUUCGCUAACAUUUAAAAAUAUAAAACUCACCAUCAUAGAAACUGACACCAUACAACUGGUGUUCUCUACUUGGUAAUUAUCAAAAAUCUAUAGAAUAGAAGCCUUUAACUUAGAAUUCGUGAGCUGUGACAUGGUGCCAAGUUUCAGAUGAUCACUUCUGAUCAUUACAAGGGCUAUACAGCAUAUGGUUACCGAAAUGUGGUUCAAAUCUACCAUCUUAUGGCAAAAUAUGAAGACAUGGUGUUAACUACCAUUCUUGUUGGGUAAAUUGGAUGGCAUUUAUCACCCUCUGUUACGUGUAAUUUGGACACCUUAUUAUUUGAGGAAGGGGUCAGACCUAGUUAACAUUUCGGUGCUAAUGUGUUAAAGACUGGAUUACCCAAAGGAACUAUUGCAUCAGGCAGUUCUGUGUGUUUCAUUUUUCUGUGCCCAUUACUGAAGUAUUAGAGCAGAAAGAGGAAUUUUGGCCCGUAAACUCUCUGGUUUCCAAUUAUUUUCAAAUAUUGUGUUUUCUCUGUAUUGUGAGGACUGAAGUCAUAUGUUAUAAAUAGCAAUACGUCCUAGAAGUUUCAUCGAAGAGGAAGGAGAGUUUGUUUUGAAAAUCUCAUUUUCAUGAUACAGUAAAGACUAAGCUAACAAAUAAAAGUGAUUUUCAGUGUGAUAAAAAAGACAUGAUAAAUACCUAAACAACAGUAGACGACUCUUGUAUUAAAAAAAAUUAAAGUAUAACCUAUGGACAUUUAAACAGAAGAGUAAUCCUCACUCUUAUAAAGGCAUCCCAAAAUAUAAGAAAAUCUGUGUUUGACUAGCGGAAGAGCAGAAGGGGGUAAAGGUGUGUUGCUUUCUGGGGCCAUCAUUUUUGCUAUCUUAGCUGUCCCGAGCAUUUUUAAAAUAGCAUCCUAGGUUGAGAAAAAAAAAAAAAGAUAUAACAUGAUUGAAUAUAUACGUUCGUAAUACUAUGUUAAUAAUAGGGUCAUGCAAAGAAAAUUAUAUCCACUUAUUGAAAGCAUGAGAGAUGCUGUAACGUAUAAAAGCAUAAAGUCAUUAAAUGGGUUCACUUGUUAUAUUAAAAGUCACCGCCUUUCAGUAAAUGGAAUUCACAUUAUGAUUCAGAGAUGUGUGUUUAGAAAACAUCUCGAAGGCUUCAGAUGAGUGGCUGGCAGAGUAGGUGAGAAGCCAAUAAAACACAAAGGCCCUAUCGAUUGCCUGGUGCCCGCCUACCAGCCUCGCUUACCAUCCUGAAUCAGUUCUUGCGAUGUCUAUUAGGGACAGUGGCCGAGUCUCACCGGGCUGCGUUUCCAGAGGAAGUAACGUUACCGCGGGGUGCAUCUGUGUGGGUCUGUGUGUUACAUUUGGGUGUAAAAGUGUGGGAAACUUGCGUGGAUCGUGCCAGUGACAUUUUCCCGCAAGCCAUGCUGCGGUGGCUUUGAGGCGGUGUGCAGUAACCCGGUGAUAAUAAAGAAUGAGAUUUUGAAAGCAGCAUGCUUCCUUUUCUGGCAUCGAGGGCUGGUCUCUGGCCCCUCAUUGGCCAUUUCUGUUUUGAGUGGGUGACUAAUAGGUGCUUGUGUUGACUUGGGGAACGGUGAACUGUUUCCCCAAGGUGUGGAUUGUUUGCGCUUGGCUGCUUGAUUCGUGCCAGAAUGCCCUAGAGUUUGCAUAAAACCCAAAGAGUAAAAUAGCUGGAACUGAGGCUGGGCUGUCUUCUGAUAACCUGGAACAAGAAAAUCAGUUAAAAUGUCACAAAGGGACAAUAUCUGUUUGGAAUGGGCUCUGCUUCCUGUGCGAGAGAAUAAGCAAUCCGAAAUAUAGGAGCCCUAAUUGCACAUUUGACCCAAUUACAGUUACCCUGUAGAUUGUUGCUCUUGAGUUAUUUGCUUGUAUGUGUUUUUAUUUUGGGGGGGGGCUUUGGUCAGUGCUACAAAACAAAACAGGCUGUCAAAAGGCCCCAUUUGACUUUGUGUCAUUCUGUCUCUCCAUGGUUAUAGAAUACAACUUGAUUUUACUCUCUCGAGUCCAAGUGUCAACAUCAAAACCUGCCAGAUCUUUUUUUUUUUUUGCAAUUUGCUUCCCAUUACGAAGAGAGCAGAUGAUUCUCUAAUUUUAACAAUUAGUCUUAAUCUUCCUCACUGAAUCUUGUCCUUUAAAAGUGUCAUUACGAUUUAUUAAGUGAUCUUCAGACUAUUUACUGUUUCAUUUUCUGGUUUUGAAAAUGGGCCUGGAAACACGUCAUUGGCAUCAACACGCCACAGUGGCCAAGAAGGUCCUGGCUAUUGGCUCGUCCAAACAUUUCUGUGCCAGGUUCGCAUUCUGUCAAACAGCACAGAUCCCGACGGAUUCUCAAAAGGGCUUGGUGCUCAGCUCUAAACGAAGGGUAGAAAAAGAAACUCCCUUUUCUUUUACCAGUUGCCAGUCCAUGCAGAUUGGGAAACCUCACAGAAGUUGCCAGAGGUUGGACAUGGAAGGGUUUUUCUCUGUUCGACAAAACUGAUUUGUCUGGGUGCUGGCUCGCAGCCAGGCUCACACAACUAAUAACCUCAAGUUCAGUGCAACUGGGAAAACCUGCCCUUCCGGCUUUUAUGGCCUUGCAGACGAUGCUGGCCCCUAAAACAUAUUGGUGGAGGCUUCAGUAGUCUGAGCCGUCUUUCUUUUUCCCCUUCCCUCUUUUUGCCCCUUGCCGACUUAAAUCUCGUUCAGGGUAUACUGCACCCUUGGGAUUUUUCUUCCUUCGAUUCCGUGUCUCCAUAGAAAUGGAAUCCUCUUUUAUGAUGGAAGAAAAGACAACAGCCUUCAGGGGCGGAGAGGUUAUGCAGAACCCACAGGUGGUUGUUCAGAACCUUUCACUUAACCACAAGUUCGGAGAACGUCCCUCACCUCCAGAAAGUUGAAGUUCAGGGUCAACAGGGGUUCUCGUUGGCAAGGUGAAUUAACAGUAGCUUACAUCAGUUUUACGUCAACAGUCGAGCAAGGCAGGUAUCCCUGACAUUUUCAGUUACAAGAAAACCUAUCGUGGCUGCAGCUGAGAGGCAUUUAAGAAACUUUAGCGUCGAGAUCUGUGAGCACUUCCGUCCCUGUCAGAGUACAUAAUCAGUUGGAAAGGAAUCGAUCAAUCAGGGAAUACGGCUUUAGUUAAUUCAUUUUAGAACCAAAGAGGAAAUCUACCAGACCAUAUCAUCAACCACGUCAGAAACAGGGAGAAGAGAAUCCAGUGUACUUUUCCUUCUAACUUCCAGGAAUAUGAUUUUUAAUCUUUUGGGAACAUCGUAGAUAAUUUUGAAAAUCCCUUGGAAGCCUUCUCCCAAGGGGAAAAAAUAUACGUAUUCGCUUAUACACAGAGUUUCAUGUAUAGUUUCCAUUUCCAGUUCCAGUAUAGUUUUCAAACUUCCAGUUUGCUGAAGCUCAUUUGUGGUCACCUUCUGGGGAUCCACGGACCACCCCGCCCAAGCCAAGAAUCUGUGAAUUUGAAACUUGCCUUGGAGGGGCAGCCUAGCACAGGGCUGCUCAUAGCAGAUAACUGGAAGAUAAAUAAAUGAACAGACGAGGCUACUUUAUUUAGAGAACAGUAUGAGGAGGUUGCGUUCAGACCAGUGAAAGACCGUGGUCGAGAUGAAAGGAAGGCAGGCACCUUUCAGAGAAGAUAAACCAUCUGGAGAUUCUGAACGAAAAUCGUCUUUAUGGAGAAAGAAGUGGUCUGAAUGACUCACAAUAUUAUCAUAGGAUCCAAGUCAUUCUCCCCUCCAUCACAGAGUCCUCUAAGAUGAGCAGGAAAAAUUUAUCUGACAACCCAAGUUGUUCCCUGGAUAACAUUCCCGAUAAUAAGCUGGUAAUCAGAUCUCCUGGAGAAAAUACAAAAAAAAAAAAAAAAAAAAAAAAAAAAAAAA